rnacentral:tmRNA from 1 species
GGGCCUGUUUGGUUUUGACAGCGGGUAGAAGUGGUUUGUAAGCAUGCAGUGCGUUGUCGGAUAGCACUUAAAUCAUAGACGGCAAAAUUCAACUGGCGAAAACAAUUACGCUCUUGCUGCUUAAUCGAAUUAUAGUAGAUUUAGCUUAAUCCUGGCACAGGUGUCGGGACGGGACAUCGCUCGGAAGCUACGCCCUGAAGCGUCCGAUCAAGCGGUGUAGGAAAAUCGGGGAUAGCUUGAGUAGGCCUUGAUGCUCAGGUUAAAAUAAAGAGGAUAAGGACAGUGUUGGUGGCUUCGGUCUUGCCCUGUCUCGAAAAUUUAAGCGAAGAUAAGCAUGUAGAAAGCGAAUUAAUUCCUCGUUUGGACACGGGUUCGACUCCCGUCAGGUCCACUU